rnacentral:rRNA from 1 species
UACGGGGGGAGCAAGCGUUGUUCGGAUUUACUGGGCGUAAAGGGCGCGUAGGCGGCCACCGCAAGUCGACUGUGAAAUCUCCGGGCUUAACCCGGAAAGGUCAGCCGAUACUGCGGGGCUAGAGUGCAGAAGGGGCAACUGGAAUUCUCGGUGUAGCGGUGAAAUGCGUAGAUAUCGAGAGGAACACCUGCGGCGAAGGCGGGUUGCUGGGCUGACACUGACGCUGAUGCGCGAAAGCCAGGGAGCGAACGGG